UACGGAGGGGGCUAGCGUUGUUCGGAAUGACUGGGCGUAAAGCGCGCGUAGGCGGAUCAGAAAGUUGGGGGUGAAAUCCCGGGGCUCAACCUCGGAAUGGCCUUCAAAACUCCUGGUCUAGAGUUCGAGAGAGGUGAGUGGAAUUCCGAGUGUAGAGGUGAAAUUCGUAGAUAUUCGGAGGAACACCAGUGGCGAAGGCGGCUCACUGGCUCGACACUGACGCUGAGGUGUGAAAGCGUGGGGAGCAAACAGG
rnacentral:rRNA from 1 species